CUCGAGUGGCGAACGGGUGAGUAACACGUGGGUGAUCUGCCCUGCACUUCGGGAUAAGCUUGGGAAACUGGGUCUAAUACCGGAUAGGAACCAUCUUUAGUGUGGUGGUUGGAAAGUUUUUUCGGUGUAGGAUGAGCUCGCGGCCUAUCAGCUUGUUGGUGGGGUAAUGGCCUACCAAGGCGGCGACGGGUAGCCGGCCUGAGAGGGUGUACGGCCACAUUGGGACUGAGAUACGGCCCAGACUCCUACGGGAGGCAGCAGUGGGGAAUAUUGCACAAUGGGCGCAAGCCUGAUGCAGCGACGCCGCGUGGGGGAUGAAGGCCUUCGGGUUGUAAACUCCUUUCGCUAGGGACGAAGCUUUUUUGUGACGGUACCUAGAUAAGAAGCACCGGCUAACUACGUGCCAGCAGCCGCGGUAAUACGUAGGGUGCGAGCGUCGUCCGGAAUUACUGGGCGUAAAGGGCUCGUAGGUGGUUUGUCGCGUCGUCUGUGAAAUUCUGGGGCUUAACUCCGGGCGUGCAGGCGAUACGGGCAUAACUUGAGUGCUGUAGGGGUAACUGGAAUUCCUGGUGUAGCGGUGAAAUGCGCAGAUAUCAGGAGGAACACCGAUGGCGAAGGCAGGUUACUGGGCAGUUACUGACGCUGAGGAGCGAAAGCAUGGGUAGCGAACAGGAUUAGAUGCCCUGGUAGUCCAUGCCGUAAACGGGUGGGCGCUAGGU
rnacentral:rRNA from 1 species